rnacentral:tRNA from 1 species
GCCUAUGUAGCUCAGCUGGUAGAGCGCAUCCUUGGUAAGGAUGAGGUCUCCGGUUCAAAUCCGGACAUAGGCUCCA